ACAUGCAAGUCGAGCGGAAAGGCCCUUCGGGGUACUCGAGCGGCGAACGGGUGAGUAACACGUGAGCAACCUGCCCUAGGCUUUGGGAUAACCCCGGGAAACCGGGGCUAAUACCGGAUAGGACCUGGCGUCGCAUGGCGCUUGGUGGAAAGUUUUUCGGCCUGGGAUGGGCUCGCGGCCUAUCAGCUUGUUGGUGGGGUGAUGGCCUACCAAGGCGACGACGGGUAGCCGGCCUGAGAGGGCGACCGGCCACACUGGGACUGAGACACGGCCCAGACUCCUACGGGAGGCAGCAGUGGGGAAUAUUGCACAAUGGGCGGAAGCCUGAUGCAGCGACGCCGCGUGAGGGAUGACGGCCUUCGGGUUGUAAACCUCUUUCAGCAGGGACGAAGCGCAAGUGACGGUACCUGCAGAAGAAGCGCCGGCCAACUACGUGCCAGCAGCCGCGGUAAGACGUAGGGCGCGAGCGUUGUCCGGAUUUAUUGGGCGUAAAGAGCUCGUAGGCGGCUUGUCGCGUCGACUGUGAAAACCCGCGGCUCAACUGCGGGCCUGCAGUCGAUACGGGCAGGCUAGAGUUCGGUAGGGGAGACUGGAAUUCCUGGUGUAGCGGUGAAAUGCGCAGAUAUCAGGAGGAACACCGGUGGCGAAGGCGGGUCUCUGGGCCGAUACUGACGCUGAGGAGCGAAAGCGUGGGGAGCGAACAGGAUUAGAUACCCUGGUAGUCCACGCUGUAAACGUUGGGCGCUAGGUGUGGGGGGCCUCUCCGGUUCUCUGUGCCGCAGCUAACGCAUUAAGCGCCCCGCCUGGGGAGUACGG
rnacentral:rRNA from 1 species